GAAACAGAGGAAGAGGAGGAGGAACCACACAUCACCAAACAAAGCUUCAAUUCACCAAAUCUAAACUAACCGAAAUUUCCUGCAGUCCGUUCGAAGCUAAUACACAAGAGGAGAGGGCGCAGAAAGCCUAGUAGGAGGACGGAGUUGCCGUGUUUAUAUUUGAGACGCGAAGAGCAUCAAGGACUCAAUCAGCCACAGUUUUUGAGGACCUGUGUUAGGUGUUUCCAGCCAGGCCCGUCAUAAUUCAUACAGCGUGUGAUGGAGAAUCCCGGGAGUCCCACGAGAACACCAAGAUGAAGAGGUCACCUGUCGGAAAGUCAACACGACCCACGCCGGUGCUAAUGAAGAAGCAGGCGUCCACACUGCGGGCUGGAGGGCUGCCGGGCUGAGAAAACAAGUUAAAGCUGCGCUGAGCUGGAAAUUACUACACACACACACACA